GCAUCUGAUGCAUGAGGAACGAGACGCUCGACUUUCCUCAGAGGAAUGUCAUGCGUUAUGAUUCACAGAAACAUUGCUCAUUCCUUGUGUCACGUUUCUUUCUAAAACUUUCAUACAUGCCAUGAAGUGAUUCUAUAAAAUGCCACAAAGCGUCACGUUGGUUUGAGGAAUGAAACGGCAGUAUGUAAAUGAUCUCUUUGCAUUAUCAUUAACAGUUCAUGACAUGAAGUCACAGGUGCAGGAGGUUUGAAUACAGAAUAGCAAAAGUUACCGUACCAUUCUGAGCGGGCGACAACGCUUCUCCAGUUAAACCUCCAUGUCAACUCUCUCUGAAGUCCCUUCUGAAGCAACACGGACACCUCAGGGGAAACGGGAAAUGCCACAGCGCAUCUCUGAAACCCGAUCCGCGCGGACGAUGGCGAGAGUUGUGCUGCCCGAGGCGACCGGUCGUGUUGGUUUGUCAGCGCUGCCGUGACUGUCCUUGGCCCCGUGACAAAUUCACAUUACAAAAAGAAAAAUCAAACAGGUUUGGAAUGAUAUGAUGGAGCCACUUAUUGUCGGGAACCAUUUUGGCUGAAUAUAUGUGACGAAUUUGUUCCAAGAUGCUGGGCUCCUGCGACCGUACAUUGGAGAAGUGGAAUAGAGAACGAAUGGAUGGAUGGAUUCUGGCAGUAUGAGGUUCUUGAUGUGCUACACUUACUGUUCAAAAGUUUUUGAAAGAAAUUGAUACUUUUUUCUUCAUCAAGGGUGCAUUAAAUUGAUCAAAAGUGUCAGGAACAACAUUUAUAUUGUUACAAAACUA